rnacentral:tRNA from 1 species
GGGGGUAUAGCUCAGUUGGUUAGAGCGCUUGCUUCACAUGCAAGAGGUCGUAGGUUCGAGUCCUACUGUCUCUACCA